AGGCAAGAAGUCUACCAUAACUAAUUUCCCAGCACAGCAUUGAAACUGAUAUCAAGUUUAAUGGUCCAUAUAUAUGGUUUUAAUCCAUGAGAAAGAAAAUAGAUUCAUUUUAUAAAACAAAAAAUAUAUUGAAUUUAAGUAUUUGGUUUCGGCAAUUGUUAAUUGCUUUUGUUGUUGUGUGUUUGCACUCAAAUGUAUGUGGGAGUUUUCAUUGUUUUUUUAUUCUGGCUGUCUAAUGGUUCAUGGACUUUUUUUGUGGGUUGUAACAACACAUCUUAUGAUUUACUCUUUGGUGUUUAGGGCAAGAAAAGAAAAGAUAUGAUCUGCAUUGCACUUGCUGAUGACACUCGUGAUCAAUCCAAGAUUAGGUUGAAUAAUGUUGUUAUUACUCCAUUCAAGACGCAAACAAGAAUAUGGCUUAGAGAAGUCCUUCACAAGCGAUUGCAUGACCAGCUGACAAUUUCUGAUUUACUUGCCGAUGGGGAGCUGCUUGAAAUCAACACUGAAGGGCGACGAUUAACAAAACUUGACCAAGCGGAUUGUUGACAAAGCUGCUUUUUCCUGAAUAAUAGCAUUGUCAACAUGGCCCUGCCUUGUGGAAGUGAUAGCGAUGAAUUUCUUAUUGAUGGCCUUGAUGAUGAUUCUUCCCAUAGAGGGGCUUCCUGAUUUUGGAGGAGCCACUUCAAGUUUAUUUGAUUUUUCAGAUUUUUGUAGGUUUUCUUUGGAAUGUUGUACUAUAUUUGUAUCUAUAUUUUGCCUUAUGCUUCAAAUUGUACGUUGGGUUGUGAUAAAUUUGUCUUAGUUUGGUAGUAAAAUUAAGGUCCGUGCCUUGAGCUCAUUGUACUCA